UACGGAGGGUGCAAGCGUUGUCCGGAUUUAUUGGGUUUAAAGGGUGCGUAGGUGGUUUUCUAAGUCUGGUUUGAAAGCUGGUGGCUUAACCAUCAGAUGUGGCUGGAAACUGGAGGACUUGAAUGCGUUGGCGGUAGCCGGAAUGGGUCAUGUAGCGGUGAAAUGCAUAGAUAUGACCCGGAACACCGAUUGCGAAGGCAGGCUACUACGACGUGAUUGACACUGAGGCACGAGAGCAUGGGUAGCGAACAGG
rnacentral:rRNA from 1 species